ensembl:lncRNA
GUGCUAACAACCUCAUUUUGGAUGAUGUAAUCUUCCCUACCUGCAUCUGCUACCCUGUCUCAAUCUAUAUGACCCCUAGCAUCUUUAAAAGACCAACUCAAAUACAACCUUCUUCAGGAUCCAGAAUUAAGGUCUGCUCUUUCCUCAUCCCUCCCGCAGGAAGUCAUCUCCCGCUACUUCCUCUACACUCUACAACUUUUGAUUUCAUACCAUUUUUGCCAUAUGCCAUUACUGAUAUUUACUUAUUUACAUCUUCUAUGCCUUGAAAACUUGUUGAGUCAUAAGGCUCAUCAUUGCAACCCCAAUACCCAGAACAGACCUUUGUCAUUGACUGAAGGGACAAAAGCAACGACAACAACAAAAAAAAUAGGAGCUACAUCAUUUCCAUGCGCAGGUUGCAGGCAUUGAAUAAAUCCUCAUUUGCUGCUAGCAAACCUGGGAAGGCUACCUGGAGGAAGCUUUGGAUCUGGAACCAUGAGAAACUUCUGAUUUUCCUCAUUGCUUUCUGUCCUUCUUACCUCUUUGGUCUCUGAUGUCUAAAAAGGGUUGAAAGCACUUUGGUAGAAAUCAGUAGUUUGUCAAGUUGGUUACAGACAUUCUUGGAAGAGACAAGGAGGAAAAGUGCACAGAAUGGUUCAAGAGAACCAUAUGAUUCAUUUAAGGCCACAGCAGGCAAGUGGGCAGGUCAGGUCUCUGACUCUCAACCGCAUAGAAUUUCCAUGACCUCUUAGUGGCCUAGAAAAGUAGGACUUGAACUUGUGUCUGGUUGAACCAGAAUGCUUUCCUUUAAAGAAAAGAGGAGGGUGGUGAUGCACCAAGGAACCAACAGCUGCUCUCCACAGUGACGCAGCCAUGCUGGACAAGUUCAGACUAAACACAUAUACAUCAUUGUCUUCAUGUGUGCUUCUAAUGUGUCCGCAUCAAACUCUGGAUAGGACUCCUGGGGACAGUAAAUGGGGCUGAGACCACCUCGAAGUAAUUUGGAACGUGCGUACCUGUCAUCCGCCUGUCAGUCUUCCUGGAGUAGCGUCGGGGCAAGUCCAAGGGGGCAAUGAUUCCAUGUUUCCAUACAACCUCUAAAUGCAUCCUGCAUGACCUGGACCCAGGCCAGCACACCAGAUCCCACUUCUAAGAAGAGAGCAUAUCAUGUGGCUGACAUGAAUUCCAGUGAGAAGAGCUGGUCACCUCUCAGCUUCUUUAAUUGUUCCUCAUAAGGGACAUUUAUGAUAUAACGAUGGGUUUUUGGAGGAGCUCACAUUCAGACAGUAAUUUACUUGGGGGGGGGGAACCUAUAAACACUGAAAAGAAGACAAAGAAUAUCAAAGGUUGUAUUUUUCUUUCUCACUCGAUAGUGAACAAAUAUUUAUUAAAUAUCCACCAUAUGUCAGACAUUACUCUGUGUACUAAAGGCCCAGAGAUAUGAGACUCAUCCCUGC